rnacentral:rRNA from 1 species
UGGGGAAUAUUGGUCAAUGGGCGAAAGCCUGAACCAGCAAUGCCGCGUGAGUGAUGAAGGCCUUCGGGUUGUAAAGCUCUGUCAGUGGGAACGAAUAAGCCGAUUAAUACCCGGUGAUGACGGUACCCACAAAGGAAGCACCGGCUAACUCUGUGCCAGCAGCCGCGGUAAUACAGAGGGUGCAAGCGUUGUUCGGAAUUACUGGGCGUAAAGCGCGUGUAGGCGGUCUGAUAAGUCGGUCGUGAAAUCCCUAGGCUUAACCUAGGAACUGCGAUCGAAACUGUCAGACUAGAGUAUCGGAGGGGAUGGCGGAAUUCCUGGUGUAGAGGUGAAAUUCGUAGAUAUCAGGAGGAACACCUGUGGCGAAGGCGGCCAUCUGGAAGAUUACUGACGCUGAGACGCGAAAGCGUGGGGAGCAAACAGGAUUAGAUACCCCGGUAGUCC